AAACUAUCGUAAAAAUAAUUUGUAAUCGCUGUUUUCUGGUGAUAUAAUCCAAGGUGAACAUGUGCACAACGAAUUUAUUCCGAGCGUUCGAACAUUUCGUCUUUGAAUCAGUGUAAUAAAAUCUUAAAUUAAAAACAGCAGCAACUUAAAAUGCGUUCCAUAUAUACAAAGAUUCGUCCCAACCAACACUUGCAAUCCAAGAUCCAUCGCCGAAAUCACUCCAAUCAACAUCACGGACAAAUUCAGAAUGCAAAUCAACUUUUCUUAUGCAAGAGUGCUGUUCCGGGUCAAAAAUUCGAGAAGUCAUAUCGUAACUUGCUGUAGCCAAAAGAUCAUGGGCGGAAUUGGACGAUUUUAUACUUCGAACAGCAAGUUGGUGACCAGACAAUACGGACAGAGGCGUCUUUAAAUUCGCGAUAUCGUAACAGUAAACCAGAUUGUUAUUGUCGGCCGUGUAAACCAUACGAUGAUUAGACUUGCUCCAAUUCAUGCAAGUAAUUUGAUUCGGUAUUUCAAUGGACAUAAAUUUAUCGGAAGACCGGAAAUCCCAAAAUUUGCAUAAUCCAUCACUUGAUGUAUACCCGAGUAAAUUUGGAGAGCUAUAAUGUGUAGCAACUGUAAGAAUCCUUGAAUUCGAACCAUUGUUGAGCGUCUGCACACUGUUAGGCAAAUUGCCUAACCAUAAUUUGAUAGUCCCAUCCCAGGAGCCCGUAACUACAAUUCUUCGAUCAACCGUAUUUGUGUCUAUUGCGACAAUCUCCGCUUUAUGCUCUUUCCAUUUAUGGAUGGGCUUAGAGGGCAUAGUCAAAUCAAAUAGUCUCAAAGAACCAUCACCACAGCAAGCGUAGACUUGAUUUUCACAAUUCUGAGACCAGCGCACACCAAACAAAGAAUCCUCGACAUCAUAGCUAGUAUUUAACGUUAGAUAAAUUUCAUUUCGUAGGAUUUAGAGACUGUUUUCAUCAUAAUAACUAAUGGUUAAAAGUGUUUUGUGCAAAAGUCUAAUAAUGAAGAGCAGUAAUCGCACAAUUACUUACUGUUGGCAAACUUGAAUUCCUUUUGGCGUAACAUCAUGAAUAUAAAGACGUCCGCUUCCGCCUAAUCCAUAAUGGGUGACAGCUGCAACAGC